AAUGGACUACCAAGGCGAUGAUACAUAGCCGACCUGAGAGGGUGAUCGGCCACAUUGGGACUGAGACACGGCCCAAACUCCUACGGGAGGCAGCAGUAGGGAAUCUUCGGCAAUGGACGAAAGUCUGACCGAGCAACGCCGCGUGAGUGAAGAAGGUUUUCGAAUCGUAAAACUCUGUUGUUAGAGAAGAAUGUUGAUUAGAGUGGAAAAUUAAUCAAGUGACGGUAUCUAACCAGAAAGGGACGGCUAACUACGUG
rnacentral:rRNA from 1 species